AUGAAAGCUUCUGCUGUGAUCCACUCAGGAUGUACAGCCCAAGAAUGAAUGAUUCAGCAUAAGGGAUGAGCAGAAGACAAGCCAUGAAAAUGAAAAUAACCUUGGAGACUUCUUCAAAACUGCUUCAAAACACAUUAAGAUCUACUGGUGAAACAGCGGUAAAAAAAUACUGUCACUUCCAUAUGCUGGGAUACUUCUUUCCCAAAGCUGUCAGACAUUCAGCAUCACAGUUGCAUUUUCCUGCCUAGAACAGGUCAACCAUUUUCUCUUCAAUACCAGCUGACUUUAGUGCCCAGGUGAAGAGGGGCUUGUAAGUUAUGGACAUUGCUACUUGCUUUUAAAUAAAAAGACUUGAUUUUUCACCC